CUCUAGGGACUCGUCCUCCGAGUAUGUGGCAGUGGGGACCCUAGGCUACCAGGAUGCGAUGUUUGGGGCCCCUCGGACCCCCCGGGGGCCAAACAGCAGACGAUGCCUCCGUUUGGCCCGAAAUUGACACCCACGCCUCGUCAGGCGCCCCUGGGGCCGUGACUGGAGCCUCGUGUCCCUUCGACCCGUUUUCGUGCUUAAUUGGCCCAAGUGUCAACGAACAGCCUACGUCGAAUAGGUUGCAGGACGGACGUCUGGAAAGCAGGGGUCAAAAGGUCGCAGCUGCUCCAAAUUUGACACGGUGGUAGUCCAGGGGCCCCUGGGUCAGGAUCCAGGGUUUCGGGGUCCUAGGUGGGCCCCCAGUCUGUUUCCUAACCCUACCCUGUAUUUUCACUGGGCCCUUUGGAGAGGCUCUCUCUGUCUAUGAGUGGAAGAGGCCUUUGUGAGAGAUUUUGAAAAAAGAAGGUCAAAAAUAUUUCCCUGCGCUCUAGGGACUCGUCCUCCUAGUAUGUGGCAGUGGGGACCCUAGGCUACCAGGAUGCGAAGUUUGGGGCCCCUCGGGCCCCCGGGGGCCAAACUGCAGCCGAUGCCUCCGUUUGGCCCGAAAUUGACACCCACGCCUCGUCAGGGGCCCCUGGGGCCGUGAGUGGAGUCUCGUGUCCCUUCGACCCGUUUUCGUGCUUAAUUGGCCCAAGUGUCAACGAACAGCCUACGUCGAAUAGGUUGCAGGACGGACGUCUGGAAAGCAGGGAUCAAAAGGUCAAAAAUAUUUCCCUGCGCUCUAGGGACUCGUCCUCCUAGUAUGUGGCAGUGGGGACCCUAGGCUACCAGGAUGCGAAGUUUGGGGCCCCUCGGACCCCCCGGGGGCCAAACAGCAGACGAUGCCUCCGUUUGGCCCGAAAUUGACACCCACGCAUCGUCAGGCGCCCCUGGGGCCGUGACUGGAGCCUCGUGUCUCUUCGACCCGUUUUCGUGCUUAAUUGGCCCAAGUGUCAACGAACAGCCUACGUCGAAUAGGUUGCAGGACGGACGUCUGGAAAGCAGGGGUCAAAAGGUCGCAGCUGCUCCAAAUUUGACACGGUGGUAGUCCAGGGGCCCCUGGGUCAGGAUCCAGGGUUUCGGGGUCCUAGGUGGGCCCCCAGUCUGUUUCCUAACCCUACCCUGUAUUUUCACUGGGCCCUUUGGAGAGGCUCUUUCUGUCUAUGAGUGGAAGAGGCCUUUGUGAGAGAUUUUGAAAAAAGAAGGUCAAAAAUAUUUCCCUGCGCUCUAGGGACUCGUCCUCCUAGUAUGUGGCAGUGGGGACCCUAGGCUACCAGGAUGCGAAGUUUGGGGCCCCUCGGGCCCCCGGGGGCCAAACUGCAGCCGAUGACUCCGUUUGGCCCGAAAUUGACACCCACGCCUCGUCAGGGGCCCCUGGGGCCGUGAGUGGAGUCUCGUGUCCCUUCGACCCGUUUUCGUGCUUAAUUGGCCCAAGUGUCAACGAACAGCCUACGUCGAAUAGGUUGCAGGACGGACGUCUGGAAAGCAGGGAUCAAAAGGUCAAAAAUAUUUCCCUGCGCUCUAGGGACUCGUCCUCCUAGUAUGUGGCAGUGGGGACCCUAGGCUACCAGGAUGCGAAGUUUGGGGCCCCUCGGGCCCCCGGGGGCCAAACUGCAGCCGAUGACUCCGUUUGGCCCGAAAUUGACACCCACGCCUCGUCAGGGGCCCCUGGGGCCGUGAGUGGAGUCUCGUGUCCCUUCGACCCGUUUUCGUGCUUAAUUGGCCCAAGUGUCAACGAACAGCCUACGUCGAAUAGGUUGCAGGACGGACGUCUGGAAAGCAGGGGUCAAAAGGUCAAAAAUAUUUCCCUGCGCUCUAGGGACUCGUCCUCCGAGUAUGUGGCAGUGGGGACCCUAGGCUACCAGGAUGCGAAGUUUGGGGCCCCUCGGACCCCCCGGGGGCCAAAAAGCAGACGAUGCCUCCGUUUGGCCCGAAAUUGACACCCACGCCUCGUCAGGGGCCCCUGGGGCCGUGACUGGAGCCUUGUGUCCCUUCGACCCGUUUUCGUGCUUAAUUGGCCCAAGUGUCAACGAACAGCCUACGUCGAAUAGGUUGCAGGACGGACGUCUGGAAAGCAGGGUUCAAAAGGUCAAAAAUAUUUCCCUACGCUCUAGGGACUCGUCCUCCUAGUAUGUGGCAGUGGGGACCCUAGGCUACCAGGAUGCGAAGUUUGGGGCCCCUCGGGCCCCCUGGGGGCCAAACUGCAGCCGAUGACUCCGUUUGGCCCGAAAUUGACACCCUCGCCUCGUCAGGGGCCCCUGGGGCCGUGUCUGGAGCCUCGUGUCCCUUCGACCCGUUUUCGUGCUUAAUUGGCCCAAGUGUCAACGAACAGCCUACGUCGAAUAGGUUGCAGGACGGACGUCUGGAAAGCAGGGGUCAAAAGGUCGCAGCUGCUCCAAAUUUGACACGGUGGUAGUCCUGGGGCCCCUGGGUCAGGAUCCAGGGUUUCAGGGUCCUAGGUGGGCCCCGAGUCUGUUUCCUAACCCUACCCUAUAUUUUCACUGGGCCCUUUGGAGAAGGUCUUUCUGUCUAUGAGUGGAAGAGGCCUUUGUGAGAGAUUUUGAAAGAAGGAGGUCAAAAAUAUUUCCCUGCGCUCUAGGGACUCGUCCUCCUAGUAUGUGGCAGUGGGGACCCUAGGCUACCAGGAUGCAAAGUUUGGGGCCCUUCGACCCGUUGGGGCCCCUCUGUCACGGAGGCGCGGCCGCCUAAAGCUUAGUCUCCCGUCUAGUGCGCACUCCUAGUGACGUAACUCCGAGUCCGCGAGGGUCAGAGAGACGAGGCAGGGCUCGUUCGAAGGGUCUGAGCGAGCCGCGUCGGCCCAGUGGCGAACGGGGUCCAGGUUCGCUCCGGUUUUGGAGGCAGGGUCCCGAACGCGUUGCUACGCGCCCCCGGUAAGGUACGGGGGGCCGCCGUCCUGCGCGACGGUGCGCUAGGGAGGCCAGGUCGGGCUCUUUCGACAGGGUUCGGGCAGACCUUUUGCACGAGACCGGUCCCGACGCCGUGGUCGCUCCGGUUCGGGAGCAGCGUCCGCGGGACGCCGGUCGGUACGGGGCCGAUUCCUCCGGAACCCGGAGCCUCACGCACUUGUCCCUGGGCUCUCCGGAAAGGUCUCGACGCGCCCCGUCGAACGAGACCAGCGCGGCGUCCGUGGUCGGUCCGGUUCCGGAGGGAGGUCGGGCGGAAGGGGCGCUUUUUCGCGGGGCCCUUUCUCCGGUUCCCCGCGGGCUAGGGAGGCGAGGUUAAUGUCGUUGGAAAGGUCUCGGCGAGCCCCGUCGAACGAGACCGGCCCCGAGUCCGUGGUCGGUCCGGUUCCGGAGGGAGGUCGUGCGUAAUGGGCGCUUCUUCGCGGGGCCCUUUCUCCGGUUCCCCGCGCGCUAGGGAGGCGAGGUGGGUGUCGUUGGAAAGGUCUCGGUUAGCCCCGUCGAACGAGACCAGCCCCGAGUCCUUGGGCGGUCCGCUUCGGGAGGGAUUCAGGAUCCUAAGUGGGCCCCGAGUCUUUUUCAUGACUUUACCCUAUAUUUUCACUGGGCCCUUUGGAGAGGGUCUUUCUGUCUAUGAGUGGAAGAGGCCUUUGUGAGAGAUUUUGAAAAAAGAAGGUCAAAAAUAUUUCCCUGAGCUCUAGGGACUCGUCCUCCUAGUAUGUGGCAGUGGGGACCCUAGGCUACCAGUUUGCAAAGUUUGGGGCCCCCCGGGUCUAUUUUGGGAAAAAUAGGCAGUUAGGUGGAUGAAUAGGCUGUUCGUGGGACGAGAGGAAGACUACGGUGAAGAGUAGUCACUUUAGGCACUUCGUGGACAAUGACGAAAAAUAGGCACUUAGGUGGAUGAAUAGGCUGUUCGUGGGACGUGAGGAAGACUAAGGACGAAGAGUAGUCACUUAGGUGGCGCUUUUGGCACAAUGAUGAAAAAUAGGCACUUAGGUGGAUGAAUAGGCUGUUCGUGGGACGCGAGGAAGACUAGGAUGAACAGUAGUCACUUAGGUGGCGCUUUAGGCACAAUGACGAAAAAUAGUCACUCAGGUGGAUGAAUAGGCCGUUCGUGGGACGUGAGGAAGACCGCGGUGAAGAGCGGUCACUCAGGUGGCACUUUGGGCACAAUGACGAAAAAUAGGCACUUAGGUGGAUGAAUAGGCCGUUCGUGGGACGUGAGGAAGACCGCGGUGAAGAGCGGUCACUCAGGUGGCACUUUGGGCACAAUGACGAAAAAUAGGCAAUCAGGUGGAUGAAUAGGCUGUUCGUGGGACGUGAGGAAGACUAAGGAUGAAGAGCAGUCACUUAGGUGGCGCUUUAGGCACAAUGACGAAAAAUAGGCACUUAGGUGGACGAAUAGGCCGUUCGUGGGACGAGAGGAAGAGUAGGAUGAAGAGUAGUCACUUAGGUGGCGCUUUAGGCACAAUGACGAAAAAUAGGCACUUAGGUGGACGAAUAGGCUGUUCGUGGGACGAGAGGAAGACCACGGUGAAGGGUGGUCACUUUCGGCACUCAGGUGGACGAAUAGGCUGUCCGGGGGACGUGAGGAAGACCACGGCGAAGAGCGGUCACUUAGGUGGCGCUUUAGGCACAAUGAUGAAAAAUAGUCACUUCGGUGGACGAAUAGGCUGUUCGUGGGACGAGAGGAAGACCACGGUGAAGGGCGGUCACUUUAGGCACGCAGGUGGACGAAUAGGCUGUCCGGGGGACGUGAGGAAGACCACGGCGAAGAGAGGUCACUUAGGUGGCGCUUCAGGCACAAUGAUGAAAAAUAGUCACUCCGGUGGACGAAUAGGCUGUUCGUGGGACGAGAGCAAGACUCAG